AAAACCAUGAAUACAGAUUCAUUCACAAUAAUUAGAAAGAAAACAAAAAGGCGUUGAGCUAUGAAAACUGAGAAAAGUUUCACUCAGUAACAAAUUUUAAAUGUUCAUUCCACAAUAAAACUAGCGCCUGACGAUUAACCAAAGAAGUGAUGGGAUCAACGGAACUCAUGAUUUUAGAAGAUUCUAUUGAAAAACAAAUCUUUAGUAACUCAAUGGACAAUCAAUACCUUACAUGUUCCGUUUAGCAAAGCAAACAAUAAACCUAAGUACAAUAUCAGUUUCUAACUUAUUAAGUUGUAUAUUCUACCACCCCACCUUCCCCUGUUAAGGAAGUUAAGGUCUAUACAAGUUGCUAUAUCACAUCAUCCUAACUUACUAUUUUCUUAAUUCCUCAAUGUUUCCACAUUUGAAAGCAUUUUAAACUGUUAAAAG